AUUGAACGCUGUCGGCAUGCUUUACACAUGCAAGUCGAACGGUAACAGGCCGCAAGGUGCUGACGAGUGGCGAACGGGUGAGUAAUGCAUCGGAACGUGCCCAGUCGUGGGGGAUAACGCAGCGAAAGCUGCGCUAAUACCGCAUACGAUCUAUGGAUGAAAGCGGGGGACCGUAAGGCCUCGCGCGAUUGGAGCGGCCGAUGUCAGAUUAGGUAGUUGGUGGGGUAAAGGCUCACCAAGCCGACGAUCUGUAGCUGGUCUGAGAGGACGACCAGCCACACGGGGACUGAGACACGGCCAAGACUCCUACGGGAGGCAGCAGUGGGGAAUUUUGGACAAUGGGCGCAAGCCUGAUCCAGCAAUGCCGCGUGCAGGAAGAAGGCCUUCGGGUUGUAAACUGCUUUUGUACGGAACGAAACGGUCCUGGUUAAUACCCGGGGCUAAUGACGGUACCGUAAGAAUAAGCACCGGCUAACUACGUGCCAGCCGCCCGCCGUAACAC
rnacentral:rRNA from 1 species